AAUAUUUGUGCCUUAGAAUAACUCACCUUUGAACUAUAUUAUUUCUCUUAUUUUUCAGUCUGAACCUGUGAUUUGAUCCAUGCGGUGAUCUCCUAUGAGGAAAUUCUGUCUACCAAUGCAGACCUUCCAUCCUCCUUCAUCAUUUUCAAGAGAGGGCAGAGGCUGGCCCAAUAUCUUUCAGAAAGGGCAUCCGGGCCAACAGGUUGAAAGGCCCUUGAAGACUAUACAAAUCUUUGCCAGUCGUAGCAUUGGGCUGGAAUCAGUGUAUCUGGGGUGUAAGCCAUCUUUGAAUGAGAUUUCCAAAAGGGACUCAUCUGGGGACGGCGCUCUUUGUUUAAAAGGAAAACAACCCCAGAGAUGAAGGCGCUACCUCUCCUCCGGUUAUUGGCAUUGUAUUUUUCCAGGUAAAUCCUGGGAUCCUAUUCAAUCAGUCAGCACCCCGAAGGCUUUAGAGAUGCAGAAGAAGGAGGGAAAGGAACAAAGAAAUCAGACAAGCGCUGUGAUCUUGAACUGCGACUUCCAGCAGCUGCAUUUUCUAAACAGCCGCCACAUUUUGCUGGUGUAUCUGUGAGGCCUGUCCAUUAUGUGUGCAAACACAAUCUGAUUAGUAUUUGUUAUAAGCUUGUCUUGUCUGCUUUUAUUACAGACAUCACCUUCAGACGUGGGGCCACUGCAGCUAUUAAAUCCGGAAUAUUUAGCUAUUAUUUGUAAUAAAUGUCAGCAGGGCUGAACUGAAGCCAGCAGGAAAUGUUCAGGGCAGAAAACACACUGACAUUCAUUCAUGCAAAUUUGUACCACUGGUAGAAUUAAUCAUAAAGGGGGAGGCUAGAGCAUACAAUGCAUUUAUAUUACUGGUUUGGCCAAUUGCGGUUCUUCCUGAAAGUGAAAGCUGUAAUGAACAGGAAGCAAUCUGCUAACAAAUCGUCCCAGGUGAAGUACAGGCGGCGAGAUGAACUUUGCAGGUUUCCACUGACCCCUUCCAGUCCCAAAUCUGCCCCUGCUCUGGACCUCGCGGCAUCCUAGGCGUAUCCUACUUCCUUUUCCCGGAGGAUGCUGAUGUCGAACGUGCACCUCCAAAGCGUCCUUCUCUUCCUUGGACCAGAGAGAUCGAAAGAGCGUCUCACAUCUCGACGUGUUCGCCUCUGCCUCACAGGAUUAAAAAACAAGGCGCUUCUGUUACCCUGUUUGAGGUGAUGUUAGAACCUGGUUCAUUGACGAUGAAGAAAUCAUUACAUGCUGAAGAGGAGGAAGUUCAAAUCCAUUUUAAUCUGUCACCGUGCAAUUUGAGGUGAAAUCCACAUGACUGAAUCAUUUCAUCCAGUUGAAAGGAAACUCUUAACACCGUUUUCACAGAGUUGUCCCAGAACCAAGCAUGAAGGAGUAUCAUUUAAUUCUACAAGUGAGUCAAGUUCACACCAGAAAAGAAUUAGCCAAGUAUUUAUUUUUUUUUCUGAAAAUGUGAGAAAAACAGAAUUGCAGAAUAAAUGUUAAUCUUUCUCAUUUUCUUGAGGCAUAAAAUUGUUCUUCACAAAGAAAUGAGACCCGCUGAAAGGAGCUGACAGAGAAAUUAUAGGUGCCUUCAGAAACAAUGAUUAUUCCUAUGGUGUCUCAGUGCUGGAAUUUGAAUAAAAAAUCAUGGAGAGCAGAGGACCAAAAUAAAAUUCUCUCCACAAUCACAUGCCAACAUUGACCAAAAUAUAAAACAGAAUCAUUCGAAAUGUUUUAUAUGCUGAGGAGAUCAGAGCAAAGACAGUUUUUCUAAAGCAAUUUAAAACCAUAUUUUCAUCACGCUGGUUAGCAUCUGGUUUUUAGCAUGCAUUAUAUUUUAAAAAUCUUUUCUUUGAAGGAGUUUAAGGAGAAGGCAUAUACCCGUUAAAUAAAAACAAGGCCUUUCUGUGAAAUA